rnacentral:rRNA from 1 species
UGAGCAAUCUGCCCUUCUCAUCGGAAUAAGCGUUGGAAACACGUCUAAUGCCGAAUACGACCUCCUUUCGCAUGAUCGGAGGUGGAAAGCUCCGGCGGAGAAGGAUGAGCUCGCGGCCUAUCAGCUAGUUGGUGUGGGUAAUGGCCCACCAAGGCGACGACGGGUAGACGGCCUGGAAAGGGUGACCGGCCACACGUGGGACUGAGACACGGCCCAGACCUCCGUACGGGAGGNAGCG